UACAGAGGCCUCGAGCGUUAGGCGGAAUCACUGGGCUUAAAGCGUGUGUAGGCGGACUUCUAAGUACCUUGUGAAAUCCCACGGCUUACCCGUGGAACGGCUGGGUAUACUGGGAGUCUUGAGCCACCUAGGGGCGAGUGGAACAAAUGGUGGAGCGGUGAAAUGCGUAGAUAUCAUUUGGAACGCCAAUGGUGAAAACAACUCGCUGGGGGUGUGCUGACGCUGAGACACGGAAAGCCAGGGGAGCGAACGGG
rnacentral:rRNA from 1 species